GAUGAACGCUGGCGGCGUGCCUAAUACAUGCAAGUCGAGCGAACAGAUGAGGAGCUUGCUCCUCUGACGUUAGCGGCGGACGGGUGAGUAACACGUGGAUAACCUACCUAUAAGACUGGGAUAACUUCGGGAAACCGGAGCUAAUACCGGAUAAUAUAUUGAACCGCAUGGUUCAAUAGUGAAAGACGGUUUUGCUGUCACUUAUAGAUGGAUCCGCGCCGCAUUAGCUAGUUGGUAAGGUAACGGCUUACCAAGGCGACGAUGCGUAGCCGACCUGAGAGGGUGAUCGGCCACACUGGAACUGAGACACGGUCCAGACUCCUACGGGAGGCAGCAGUAGGGAAUCUUCCGCAAUGGGCGAAAGCCUGACGGAGCAACGCCGCGUGAGUGAUGAAGGUCUUCGGAUCGUAAAACUCUGUUAUUAGGGAAGAACAAAUGUGUAAGUAACUAUGCACGUCCUGACGGUACCUAAUCAGAAAGCCACGGCUAACUACGUG
rnacentral:rRNA from 1 species